UUAAACUAUUCGGUUGUUAAGUGACUUGCUGCCAAAUUAAUUAAGUUUUCGCAUUAAAAUAACAAAGAAAGUUGAAAUAUUUUUACAUAAAUAUAUAAUAAAAGUGUUUGUGAAUAUAAUUGUAUAAAAAUUUGCCAAUAAAAUUAAUUAAAUCGAGCAGGAAAUGUGUUAGAAAAUUAUAAGAAAAUUGCAAUUUUUUUAAUAGUUAGCGUUGUUAUUUCUUUUGUUUUGUCUUUCGUUUUGUUGUUUGUGUAUUGCAUCAGAAGUAGGAGAAAAAGUAACAGAGGAGUAUAAUGUUGGUGUUGUUGUUGUUUGAAAGUGUGCUAUUUGUUAUUGUAAACAAAUAGUUAAAAUAAAAUGAAGCAUAAAGUAUUUGAAAUAAUUGAAGGCUUUAAAUAAAAAUGCAAUUAUUAGUGUUUGACAAUGGUUAAAUCGAAUGUAUUAAUAUUUUGCGGUUAAAUGAUAAAAUGAAUUACACAUGUAUGUAUUAUAAUAAGUGUUAGAAAAUCAAAAAAAAAAAAAAAAAAAAACAUCAAAAUAAUAACUACACAAAGUAAAUUGUUUGGAGAUAAAGGAGACUGGAGGAUUACUUGCAAAUGUGUGGAAGUAAAGGAGGAAGCAGUUUUAUUUAAGAAGUUAAAAGAAGAGAAACUUGUUAAACUUGUUACAUCAAUUUAACAUCAGUGAAAUCCUGCUGCUUAUGGUAACCUGUCACCAGAGCAAAUCAAUAUACAAUCAGAUACAUACAAUGGAUGUAGUACAAAUCGAUUCUGGACUUAUAACAAGAAAUAGAAAAUGAGAAUUUUUUUGUGCAGAUAUCAAUGAUGACAUUGAUUCUAAGAGAAUCUCAGAACAAUUCAGGACAAUUUCUACUCAAAAGGAGGAAAUUUGGGAAAUUAAAAAUUUUCUAAGUGUAUUUUUAUAUAACAUAGUUUCCAGUUGUUUUCUUAAAACAUGCAAAUGACAUAUUUAAAUAUCUAUCCUGCACUUAAGAUAAAAUACAAGUGUAUCUCUUAAAUUGCAAAUUUCAAUAAUGGGAAAUCAAACUUGUAUGCAUUUUAAUUGAAUU